AUGGGACAAGCAACCUGAAACUUCUCAGAGAUGUUAGACAUGUUCUACUCUCCACACACCAUCACACCACUAUCUCACACCGAAGCUAGAACAACGGUAAAGAAAGAUAAACACUAAAAUCCAGACAAGGACACCUCAGAUUCAGCCUUUUUGAAGCUAUAAACACAUCUGACCCGAGUAAAGAUCUCAAAACAUGGAGUGAGUUGAUGGAUUUGGUCACCGGACAAACAAAAUCUUACAAGGAGCUAAGUAAAAAACAGAGAAGAAGACGUUUGCAGGUGAACUUCUCCGUACCUCUACCAGAUCCGGCGUCUUCUUUGUCAUAAUCAAUUAUAUCUGUUAGCUCUGGCUGGAGAUCUCUUCGGGAACCUCUUCCACCGCAACAAAACAACUACUCAGAAAAAAAUCUCUGUCAAACACGAGAAAAUCAAGAACAAAAGCAAGCUAAAGGAAAGAUUAAGACCGUCGUCGUGGCUGUGUAAGUCCAAACACGCCAGUCUUAACCAAAUCUGAGCAGAGAAACUGAGUUUUAAGGGAGAAGGUGGAACUUUCUCUCUCUGGAGGCUAUUCAACUAAUUACCUCUCUACCGUGAAAAAAUUUGUCAGAUCUUUCCAUCAUUCUCUCACGAUUUUUUUGGGAAUUUUAAUCUUUUUUUUUUCUGACCUUUCGUUUUCUCUUCAACAGAAAAAAAAUCGUUCAGUUCCAUAACUCUGUUUUAAUUCAGGCUCUAUUCCGACGACGGAACGACUCAAUCGUCCCGUUCUUCCUCCUAUCAGAGAUUGUUGUACCGAAGGACGAACGGCUAUGCUUGAUGUGAGCGCAGUCGCAAUUCUCGUGGACGGAGUUGACAACAGAGAGUCGUUCGUCGUCAUUGGCGGCAGAGAAUUUCGUGGCGGCAUUGUUAGCGAAGGAGGCAAGUGCAGUGGAAGACCUCGUAUCCUUUCUCGUGCUUCCUUUUUUACUCUUAACUUCUUUUCUAAUCCGUCGACAAUCGAAACCCCCCAAGGUCAAUCGAAACACAGUUGAUUUAGUUUGAUGAAUUUCCUUAAUUUUGUGACUGUGUGAAUCAGAGAGCGCUUACCCACAUUUCACCAGAGGAAGAUCCAAACUUUUACACCCAUUGAGUCGGAAAAUUAGUUUAGCAAGAUUGAGUGGUAUUAGUAUUAAGAGAGACACAACAAUAGGGAACAUAAGCAUCUAAUGCUUCAAGGCAUAGGAAAAGCAGGGAGCAUUUUCGGUGAAGUGGUGAAAUUACUAAGCAUAUAAGUUCUGAGACGGAAGCAAACAUGAGGAUCAAAGAGGCUUUGCCGGGUGGCGACCAGCGUGCUUUGCGAGGAGCGUGUUUUUACUAUAUAUUCAACAAUAGAUUCUUUCUUCCUGUUGCAGAGUUGUUCCUUGAAAGCAUUUCUUCUGAUCUUGGCUUUAGUGGUGAUACAUUAGCUGAAGGUGUUGGAUCUUGGAUAUGUUCCGUAUUCAAUUAUUAAUCAUGUUCCUGGGCUUGUAUGUUACAUCGUCUAGGUGGAACUCUAUGCAUAAGUAGUUUCGAGUGGAUGUCAUAGAGAAUGCGUUAGUCAUGGUUUUACUCGGACCAAGUCAUGUGCAUUGUGGGCAGUGGCGGUUUUGUUAUGUUUUUUUUUUAUUUGUAUUCUUAAAAUUUUAAUAUUUUGAAUGUGUAAAUUUUAA